rnacentral:sRNA from 1 species
GCCGGGCACGGUGGCGCACGCCUGUAAUCCCAGCAGUUUGGGAGGCUGAGACAGGAGAAUUGUGAGUUCAAAGCCAGCCUCAGCAAUGGUGAGGAGCUAAGCAACUCAGACUGUCUCUA